CUUCAUUUUCUUCUCCCCCAGAGCCCAGGCCUGCCUCUGUCUAUUCACGGAGUUUGUAAGUCAGCGUGAAGGCCCAUUGACUGAGGAUGUGUGACUUUGUUCCCCCUGGAUGCUGAGGGCAAUGGAGUACCAAUGCACAAUGCAAGGACAUACCAGUCUCCAUGGAUUCUUGAAACACAGGAGGCCCAGAAAAUGGGAGAUCCCAUGUGCUACGGACUAGCAGAACAGUGGAUUACCCUGUGCCUGGCAAAAUGGAGCUCGUGAAUCCGGCUGUCUUCCCCCAUCUGACGGUGGUGCUGGGCCCUUGGCAUGCUCUCUACCACCUGGUUCUUCAUUUAUGAAGUUACCUCCACAUUUAUGAAGUACACUUGGGAUAUCUACAAAGAGCUUCUCAUCUUCUUGCUGUCCUCACUCUUCAUGGGCUUUGGAGUCCUCUUCCCGCUGCUCUGGGUUGACAUCUACAUAUGAGCUCCCAAGGGUUCCAACCAGGAAGCUUCACUGAAUCCCUGCUUUUGUAAAUUAAUUUUUUUUUACUGUUGGUAGAAGUGUCCCACCUGCUGCUCACAAUUAAGGCAGAUGUGUGACUGAAAAAAACACCCAAAACAACCUAACCCUGUAAUCAAGAUAAUAUUUUAAUGU